rnacentral:rRNA from 1 species
AGAGUUUGAUCCUGGCUCAGAAUCAACGCUGGCGGCGUGCCUAACACAUGCAAGUCGAACGAGAAAGCGGGGGCAACUCCGUGAGUAAAGUGGCGACCGGGUGAGUAACACGUGACUAACCUGCCUUAAGUGGGGGAUAACCUCGGGAAACCGGGGCUAAUACCGCAUAACAUCAUGAGGUGAAAGUCCUUGUGAUCAAA